rnacentral:piRNA from 1 species
UGUGGCAUUCACUACUAUUAGUAUUCGCUGA